GAUGAACGCUAGCUCCAGGCUUAACACAUGCAAGUCGCGGGGCAGCAUGGGGGUUGCUUGCAAUCCCCGAUGGCGACCGGCGCACGGGUGAGUAACGCGUAUCCAACCUGCCCUUCACCACGGGAUAACCCGGCGAAAGUCGGACUAAUACCGUAUGUUGUCCAUUGACGGCAUCCGAUUUGUACGAAAGGCUUGGCGGUGAGGGAUGGGGAUGCGUCCGAUUAGCCAGACGGCGGGGUAACGGCCCACCGUGGCUACGAUCGGUAGGGGUUCUGAGAGGAAGGUCCCCCACACUGGAACUGAGACACGGUCCAGACUCCUACGGGAGGCAGCAGUGAGGAAUAUUGGUCAAUGGGCGUAAGCCUGAACCAGCCAAGUAGCGUGCAGGAUGACGGCGCUAUGGGUUGUAAACUGCUUUUAUGCGGGGAUAAAGUGGCCCACGUGUGGGCUUUUGCAGGUACCGCAUGAAUAAGGACCGGCUAAUUCCGUG
rnacentral:rRNA from 1 species